rnacentral:lncRNA from 1 species
CUCUGAGUCAGCCUCUGCUUACUUGCACUGGGUGCCAGCUCUGUUUAUUAGGAAAAACUAAUAAUGCCCAGGUAAUGUUUGCUCAGAGCCUAACACAUAGCCCAGACUGACAAAACUGGAGAAAUUCAAGGGGAGAUGGAGGACAAUGUACCUUGCUCCCCUUUCUGUCUUCAUUAACUUGGUCAUCUCUUUUGCUUCACGUUUCUUUCUGUUUCCUGGGCAGUAGUCAAGCUCUGGAGACUUCAGGGCAAUUCUCUGGGCUUAAAGCACUCAGGGCUCUCCUGUCUGCACCCCCAGGAUCACAGCCCAAGUGCCAGCAACCAUGCAGCCAACCAGGAUUAAUCCCCAUCCAGCCAUCCAUCCAAGCACAGGCCAUUGUCCUGGCACAUACAGCCUUCUGGUCUACGCAUCUAAGGAAGAGUUCAGCUCUGACUCCCAUCUCCAUCUCCUCCUGCGACAGAAGCUCAUCAUUGAAAAAUGCCCUUCAGGAUUCUUGUGUCUGCCAUUCCACCAUCCUGCCAUCCCAAGGAGAGGUCCUGCUUGUGGAGCCCAGGCUGGAUAAUGCUGUAAGACUAGAAAAGUAUCAAGGAUGGUCUCAGAGAUGGAGCAAGUCUACUGUUCAAGGACUCAGCCUUGCUAACUUGUGAAAGGGGCUCAUCACCAAUAUGCUGAACCAUGGGGGAUGAGUUCUUUGGCCAUGGAAACCCAUGACACACCAAGAGGAAUAAAAACUAGGCACCAGCUCUUAUUGAGCUUUGU